CUGGUUGUUCAGUCUCGCAGUUAUGAAGCGGUUAUGUCGGCGCGUGUGUGGCGUCUGGUGUUGAAUUUUGAGGAGCCUAUUGCGCUCAAGGAUUAUAUGAAACUUCAUAGUCGUCACGUAGCUUCCAGAGGAAUGUAUGUCGUCUUCCUCAAGGUCUUUCUUGCCAGUGUUGCCAUCCAUGAGCCGCUAUGUUGGGUGACAUUCAGGUCACGUUGUGCGACGGGUGGGAUCCCUGCGCCGGAACUUUAUUGUGUGUGCCUGAAAGUGAGAUUGGAUAGUGCAUUGUAAAAGUGUUGCGGUUCAUCUAUUCCGGAUAUCAUGGUUUCGAAUAAGGAAAUUUACUCAGUAUACGGAUUAACCAUCAGCUGGCAUAGAAGGCGACAUGCAAGAAACAUGCUUCCAACAGGACGGCAGGACGAAAGAAAAAUGUAUACACUGGACAAAGCCGACUGUGCUGCACGACACGCAGGAUCUACUCUAGCACGGACACACCCCUGAUUUCUGGUUCUCAUCACCGCCACCAGGGUGAAGAUGAGCGUCACCAGCGGGUCCAUUCCGAAAUGUACUCCGUGGAAGUGCGUUCACUUCCGCCACGCUGACACCCUGCUUUAACGGCGGCUAAUUGGCAACACCAACGGCACAUACCAAGAUUGUCCAGUGUGCGAUGCGAUGUGGAAUCCUAGAGCCAAGUGGAAC